CUCGCUGCAGCCCUUGCCGCAGCCACCUCCUCUUUUCUUCUUCUUCUUCUUCUUCUUCUUCUUCCUCUGCUUCUCUUCUUCUCUUCUUCCCUUCUCCUCCCCGACGCCCCCACACAUGAACUCCUCUGUUUCCUCCUACACGAAACAAAGGUGCUGCAGCCCUAGCUGCUGCAGCUAUCUCUCUUUCCUCUCCCUCUUC
rnacentral:lncRNA from 1 species